rfam:Ovis aries breed Texel chromosome 6, whole genome shotgun sequence.
UCCCUGGUGGCUCAGAGGUUAAAGCAUCUGCCUGGAAUGCAGAAGACCCGAGUUCAAUCUCUGGGUCAGGGAA